CCUACGGGAGGCAGCAGUGAGGAAUAUUGGUCAAUGGACGAGAGUCUGAACCAGCCAAGUAGCGUGAAGGAUGACUGCCCUAUGGGUUGUAAACUUCUUUUAUAUGGGAAUAAAAUGUUCCACGUGUGGGAUUUUGUAUGUACCAUAUGAAUAAGGAUCGGCUAACUCCGUGCCAGCAGCCGCGGUAAUACGGAGGAUCCGAGCGUUAUCCGGAUUUAUUGGGUUUAAAGGGAGCGUAGGUGGAUUGUUAAGUCAGUUGUGAAAGUUUGCGCCUCAACCGUAAAAUUGCAGUUGAAACUGGCAGUCUUGAGUACAGUAGAGGUGGGCGGAAUUCGUGGUGUAGCGGUGAAAUGCUUAGAUAACACGAAGAACUCCGAUUGCGAAGGCAGUUCACUGGACUGCAACUGACACUGAGGCUCGAAAGUGUGGGUAUCAAACAGGAUUAGAUACCCGGGUAGUC
rnacentral:rRNA from 1 species